AGUGAACGCUGGCGGUAGGCCUAACACAUGCAAGUCGAACGGCAGCACAGUAAGAGCUUGCUCUUACGGGUGGCGAGUGGCGGACGGGUGAGGAAUACAUCGGAAUCUACUUUUUCGUGGGGGAUAACGUAGGGAAACUUACGCUAAUACCGCAUACGACCUACGGGUGAAAGCAGGGGAUCUUCGGACCUUGCGCGAUUGAAUGAGCCGAUGUCGGAUUAGCUAGUUGGCGGGGUAAAGGCCCACCAAGGCGACGAUCCGUAGCUGGUCUGAGAGGAUGAUCAGCCACACUAGAACUGAGACACGGUCCAGAGUCCUACGGGAGGCAGCAGUGGGGAAUAUUAGGCAAUGGGCGCAAGCCUGAUCCAGCCAUACCGCGUGGGUGAAGAAGGCCUUCGGGUUGUAAAGCCCUUUUGUUGGGAAAGAAAAGCAGCAGGUUAAUACCCCGCUGUUCUGACGGUACCCAAAGAAUAAGCACCGGCUAACUUCGUG
rnacentral:rRNA from 1 species